GAUGAACGCUGGCGGCGAGCCUAAUACAUGCAAGUCGAACGAAACUUCUUUAUCACCGAGUGCUUGCACUCACCGAUAAAGAGUUGAGUGGCGAACGGGUGAGUAACACGUGGGCAACCUGCCCAAAAGAGGGGGAUAACACUUGGAAACAGGUGCUAAUACCGCAUAACCAUAGUUACCGCAUGGUAACUAUGUAAAAGGUGGCUAUACUACCGCUUUUGGAUGGGCCCGCGGCGCAUUAGCUAGUUGGUAGGGUAAAGGCUUACCAAGGCAAUGAUGCGUAGCCGAAUUGAGAGGUUGAUCGGCCACAUUGGGACUGAGACACGGCCCAAACUCCUACGGGAGGCAGCAGUAGGGAAUCUUCCACAAUGGGCGAAAGCCUGAUGGAGCAACGCCGCGUGGGUGAAGAAGGUCUUCGGAUCGUAAAACCCUGUUGUUAGAGAAGAAAGUGCGUGAGAGUAACUGUUCACGUUUCGACGGUAUCUAACCAGAAAGCCACGGCUAACUACGUG
rnacentral:rRNA from 1 species